rnacentral:rRNA from 1 species
UAGGGAAUCUUCCGCAAUGGACGAAAGUCUGACGGAGCAACGCCGCGUGAGUGAUGAAGGCUUUCGGGUCGUAAAACUCUGUUGUUAGGGAAGAACAAGUGCUAGUUGAAUAAGCUGGCACCUUGACGGUACCUAACCAGAAAGCCACGGCUAACUACGUGCCAGCAGCCGCGGUAAUACGUAGGUGGCAAGCGUUAUCCGGAAUUAUUGGGCGUAAAGCGCGCGCAGGUGGUUUCUUAAGUCUGAUGUGAAAGCCCACGGCUCAACCAUGGAGGGUCAUUGGAAACUGGGAGACUUGAGUGCAGAAGAGGAAAGUGGAAUUCCAUGUGUAGCGGUGAAAUGCGUAGAGAUAUGGAGGAACACCAGUGGCGAAGGCGACUUUCUGGUCUGUAACUGACACUGAGGCGCGAAAGCGUGGGGAGCAAACAGGAUUAGAUACCCUGGUAGUCCACGCCGUAAACGAUGAGUGCUAAGUGUUAGAGGGUUUCCG